UCCCAACGUUCUAAUGGGUGCUGAUAGAUU
rnacentral:piRNA from 1 species